GGGCACGUGGUGUAGUUGGUUAUCACGCUCGCUUAGCAUGUAACAUGCGAGAGGGGUCCGGUUCGAUCCCGGACGUGUCCA
rnacentral:tRNA from 2 species